CUUUCUCUUCUUUCUUCUUACUUUCGUUCUCUUUCUCAGUCUUCUCUUCUCUCUUUUCCAUGAAACCCUAAAACUGCCGCUAAAUCACCUUUCUUUUUGCUCUCUCUUCCAUCUCUUUCCAUUUUCUGUUCUACCUCUUCUCCGAGAAUUUUUUCGGUCUACCACUGUUUCUCUUUCUCCGACCUCCGCAACUCAAAACCCUAAAACCAAUAUAGAUUCGAACUACCCACCAAGUUUCCAUUUUACUAUUUCAUUUGAAUGAUCUGAAAACAAAACUUGCUCUUCUCUGUGUUGCUAAGAUUGCUCAUGACAGAAAUUCAUAUUAGAAACAGCAAGCACAAGAAGAUCUUGCCGAGAUUGAUGAAGGUAAACUAGGCUCUUAGUUAGAAACAACAAACAAAGGCAGAUCUUGAUUACAGAUUAGACGAUGUGGCUAAUCAGGUUUUUUUCCUAUUAUCGUUCUCAUUUGUUGUUGUGUUUCUGUUAGAAACUACAAAGUGAUUUAAUCACUUUCUUUCCAUUUAAUCACCAUCAAGGAGAUUAUAGUAUUCCAGGGACAUCAACAAGUAAAAUAUUUACAACAGUUAAUGUUGUUACUAACUUUGAUUUUCCCAAGAACUCAUACACUUAUUUGCACAGGGUUGGUCGUUCAGGAAGAUUUGGCCACCUUGGUUUAGCGGUGAACUUGAUCACUUACGAGGACUGCUUUAAUUUAUUUAGGAUUGAACAAGAACUUGGCACUAAAAUAAAUGAAAUUCCGCCACACAUUGAUCAAGCAUUUUAUGAUCGGAACAUGUAACCCGUCUUUACAAGAGUUGUUUUUACAAGUUAGAUGAGUAGCUAGCUAUGGGGAAAUGCUAUGAGAGAUGCAAUUUCUAAAGUUUACACACAAAUAUUAAACUAUAUUCCAACAAAGCAGCAACUAUAUUGGAAACUCAGUGAAGAUGGUAACAAUAUUUUUGUUAUUGCUACAUAGUCUGCAACAAAGCUCCUGGUGGAAACUUAUAUAUCGACAUCCUCGCCUCUACUCCGAUAUAAAGGAUAUGAUGUCAUUCAUGGAGACAAUACCAUCAUUUAUUCUUCCGUAGACAUUUGAGUUUAAUUACUAUUCUAUGAUUUUAGGUUUAAUUUUUUAAUUCACUAACUUCUACAUUUUUAUGUUAUUUUUCCCCGUCACAUGGAAUUUUGAUGGUUAAUCCAACCGUUCUUAAAUCCAAGAGUGAUGGUUAUGCUUAUGAUUUGUUUCUUCUAUUGCAUUGACAUUGGCAGGGUGAGAGCUGGAGUCUAAAAAGAAUUUCAGAGUUUGGUUAUUUAAGAGCACAUGCUACUAAAGUUGAUUUAAACUUGGAGGAAAUGAUUGAAUGUUAUAGAAAAGAAAAAGAAGCCAGAAGUGCAGCUGAGAAGAAGGCCAUUGCAACUAAGGACCUGUACAAGCCAUCACAAGAGUGUAAUAUCAGUUUGCUAUAGUACCAUAGUCAGCUUCAGUCAAAUCUGAAAGAAGUUAACGAGGAAAAUAAACGAAUGGAAUAAAGAAAUCAAGUAUUGUUGAGAACCUUAGCACAGCAGUGUAAGAGGCCACAAUAAGGUAUUGCACGAGCAACUAGCAUCUCUACGAGUAAGUUAUUUAUUGUUGAUUAAUGCCAUCAGGCCUAUCAUUUAUGGUGUCUAUUGUCUGUCGAUAACCCGAAGUGUUUUAAAUUUACGUGAAGUGAAGUUCAUGUUGUGAACAAAUAGAUAUGUUGCAGCAACUGAAAAAGAGAAGUUAAAGGUACAAAGUUAUACUGAAGUUUGCAUGUGUGUGCUUUGGUUUUCCCUUUAUUAGUUUAAUUCGAAAAUUUACUUCACAUUAUUGAAAUUAGGGUGGAGUUUGAUCUGUGUCUGUAGCUAAUUGCAGGCCAUAACAAAAUGACUGUAAAUAGGCUGCACGAGCUACACUAAGCAAUAAAAUCUGGAGGUACACACACUCUUUGGAGUCUCUCAAGCAUCAAUGAAGAAUAAUCUUUGUUGUUGGUGAUUUCAAUAUUGCAUCAUUUGCGAAUUGAUCGGUGUGGUGCAGAACCUCAUUUUGAGAAUAAUGAGUUUUGAAGAUGAUUCAAAUCAAUGUUAAUUGGAAAUGGAGACAAUUUUUGUUAUGUAUUCCGAGCAAAACAUGCGGAUCAUACCUCAUAAACAUGUGUGAAUUUGUUUUAAAAGCUGUGGCCAUACAGAACUAAGAAGCAUCUAAGAACAUAUCUCAUAAACAUUUGUGAAUUUUAAUAGUAAUUAUAAUUCUGUCUUAUUCUAAUAUUGUUUCUAUUUUUUUUUUCAACUCAAAUGUCUGUGUGUGCUGGAGGUACAAAGUUUCAAGGAGACAUGGGGUUAUUUAAGAGAUAUAAGUAACCACUUGAGUUCCAUUUGUUUUUUAAUUCCAUAUUAUCAUUAGAACAAAUGAUGAUUUAGAAGAAGAUAACAAGAGAAUAAGCUAGAAUGUAACCUCGGUUCUAUAAUUCUAUUGUAUUAUUAGCUAUAUGACUAUUUUUUCAUAUCGAAAAUUAGCUAUGAAACUCUUUUCUUACACGUGGGCACACUUUCUAUAACUUUUUUCAUUUUCAAGUUUCAAAUUUUUUUCAUUUUCAACUUUGUUUUACAUGCUGGUUAAAAUACUAUUUUAAAAGCUGUAUUGUACACAGGCUGUAGACAAGCAAAAUCUCACAUGUAUGGUCUCUAUAGGACUUUAAUUA